GCUGCAAUGGUCUAGUGGUUAUGACAUUCGCCUCACACAAAUAGUGCGCGCGAAGGGUCCCCAGUUCGACCCUGGGUUGCAGCA